AGACAUUUGCAGCAGUGUGUAUGUGGAAAGAUGAUUAUACCCCAUGCUUCAAUUGAAUGGACUACCAGCAUAUUUUCUGAAUAUAUGGAGUGGUAGCAUGCAACACGAAGAAGAAGCUGUGCAUUUGUGGAAUUUUGUGAUUCCGAGUCAGCUGCCAAAGCUGUCACAGCAUAUGCAGCCUCCAGCGAGUAUCAUGUAUUGACUGAAGAUCCAGGGCAGUCAUGUGGUAUUCAGGUGUUUAAUGCAGAGAGCCAAGACGAAAUGUGGGACAAGAAGAAAACGAGCACAAAACUAGACACGGAGGAAGCAGAUCAUUUCCAAGUUCCGUGUUGAAUGCUCAAGAAACAUUUUAAAUAUUUUGUGAGAAAUAGAAAUUUUUAAACACGCACCAUUGCUUGUAGUGUACCCGUGUUAAACUUCAAUAAAAAAGAUGUGAUAGUUCAAAGAA